rnacentral:lncRNA from 1 species
GUUAAGACUAAAAUUGGGAUCACCUAUGGGUCUGUUUCUAUUGAUUAUGUUUUUUCUCUUGUUAUUUUUUGACAUGUGAAGGAAUAUUUGAAUAAAUGCCAGGCAUUAUUUAUUUAAAAAAUAUAGAAACUCUAGAUUCCUGAGAAGGCUCACUUUCCCCUCUUGGCAGAGUGGUGGUCAGUUGGUUUACUUCAGUAAGGAACUGUGCUGAAUCAUGGCUGCAUGAGGGAUGACCUCUGGCUCAAGAUGGACCUUGUGUAGUUUCAUCUAGAAUGUUGGUGUGUUUUGGGAAUGCUCUUUUUUAUGGGUAUCAAAUUCCAAUCUUUGUCAUGUGAGACUGACAACAGAGCUCUGUUUUGUUUUGCAGGGUCUUCCCACCUAUGUUUUUGCCUUUUGCCACAUACGGGUUCCAGUUUUCAAUACAUGUUUUGGGGAAUAUAAUCUGCCGUGUGCUUGAAACCUUAUAAAUCUCCACCAAAACUCUUCCGAUUCCUUUUACUCCUGCUGCAGCCCUCUUCCAGCUCUUGCCCUGGAUUUUGCCCUAGACUCUUAGCUUCUUGCCCAUAUUCGAAUUCAUCAGUACCUCCAGGAGAAAAGCAACUGCAGAGGCCAGUUCACUUCUCUGUUUCUUCCUUUAUGAAGUAUUAGUUCAUUUUGUUGUUGUUGCCUUAGCAACUCUUGGCUUUUUCAAAAAAAAAUUUUGUAUUCUGUCUGGCUUUUCUAGCUCUAGAUGGGAGCACUGGUCUUUGGAAAAGGGGAUAAGUAAUACAUCUUCCCUAGAAGAGUUAGGAAAAUGGUCCAUGAAAUCACUUCUAACACCAAGUGCAAGUUUGGGGGUUCCCCAGACCACCCUCACUUCUGACACCAACUGCAAGAAUGAGUGUCUACAAGGCUACUUUCGGGCUUGAUAAUUUGCUAGACUCACUCACAGAACUCACUAACAGCCAUUAUCCUCAUGGUUACAGUUUAUUGCAGCAAAAGAAUAUAUACUAAAAUCAGCCAAAGGAAGAGGUGCAUGGGGCAGAGAAUAGGAGAAUUCAAAAUGUUGAGCGUGCAGUCGUCCUCUCCCAGUGUUAACUGCACCUGGAAUGAUGUGUAACAAUACUCACUUAGCAUUGCCAACUAUGUGUGUGUUGUCACAUGGCACUAUUUAACACUGAGCUGUGGUGACUAGAGUUUUCAGUUGGGUUUCAGACACAUAGAAUGGUUGGCUAACUCAAUCCCCAGCUCUUCUGGAGGCAGAGCUGAUACUGUGUAACCCAAAGCUUCUACCGUAAAUCACACUGCUAGAUGAUCUGGGAUGGCCCAAGGCUCCUAGCUAAACUAAGACACUCCUGUCAGGCAGAACAUUCUAAGGGCUCAGAGAUUGUCUCCCAGGAUCCAAGGACAAAGGUCAGACCUCUCUUUGGGCAAGAUUAAAUUCCGUAUUACACAAUACCAGAUGAGCAGCUGUCUUUUGAUGGCUGUAAGUGGAUAGUGAAGGAUAUUUUCAAUAUAUGUUGGGUAGGAGCAGUGAUCUGUCAUUUCAGAAAGGUUAUAGGAGUAUAGAUUUGUGUCCGUCAGGAUGAGAAAGCCACCGUUUGAACCUGUAGAUAAUUCUGAGACCACUGAUAGGAAGCAUCCUUUGGCCAAUGUUAGGCUAGUUGCCAUCAAGCGUUAGCAGCAUACAACAAGCUUAGGUUUUCUAAAAUACAAAAAGAUCCUUACUGAGAGCAUAUUAGAGGAAACUCAUUCUGUGGAAGAAGAAGUAUGUUUGCUUCAGGAUUAAGAAAAAAAGCAGCAUCAAUUCUACAUUCCACUUAAGUACAUUUCUAUUUGCUUGAGAAGACACAGCCAUUUUUAGUUGGGAAUCAAUUUUUGAGUGAGUAAUGAAGAAAGACUUAGACAAGAGUCUUUCUGAAAGCUUUUAUGGGUAGAAUUCUAUGAUAUACUUGAUUGUUCCUCACUGUGUCCUCCAGUUCCAUGAAGAUUCUAUGUUAUCUCUCCUAAAGUUCCCUUUUAU